AGACUUUCAGAAAAGCUCUUAAAGGUCAUCCAGUCUAACCAUUCAUCUGACCCCCUAAUCCCCUCCACAAUAUUAAUACUAACUCUUCCAGGUUGGAGGAACUUCCGUUCACGUUACCUCAACAAAUAGAGAUUUUACUCUAAAAAAGCACAUGUGCCUAGGAACGAAGUCAUAGCUAACAAUCUGGCCACAAAAAGAGCAGAAACUCUGCAGAGCUAGAUCUCACAGCAGAAAAACAGAACGGAAAAGUAUUUGGAAUCCAGAACAGCACUAGCUAAGGACUACAACAGCGCUGACCCUAAAAACCGGUCAGAAGAACGAAGUCCUCCCAGUUUUGUACCCUGGGAUCCCGGGAUGCGGCCACAGCAAGGAGAGCUACGUUCCGAGGCAUCCUGACAGGGAAGCUUGUACGUGGAAAAGGGGUGAAAUCUAGUGAAAAUCAACAGGGAGGACACGCUCUCGGGAGAAAAGCAAGUUACAAAAGGGCAACAACCGAAGGCUUGUGGUGCAAGGGAGCCCUAGGGAUCACUGCCUGCCGAGCUGGAAGCAGACACACAGAGGAAGAGAGAAACAACGGUGCAUUUUGCUUUUUUUGAAUAUUUCGACAGCACACGAUUCUUCCAGAAGUGAUGGCAAAAAAUAAUUGAAUGUCGGUCAUGCUUUUGUCCACCGCUUUGCAUUUCUCUGCUGGUGGACGUGCUGGUGAUUGGCAGACUGUUGGAGGGUCGUGUCUGGUGGACGUGCUGGUGAAGGACAGACUGUUGGGGUGUCGCGUCUGGUCGUACAGUCGCCGGGCCUUCUGCAUCGCCUUCGCUGACCCCGGUGUUGCUGCCUGGCCUCUAGCUCAGCCCUAACUUAUCCACAGAUGAGUCAAAAGGAUGAGGACGGAAGGAAAUGAAAGCUGAGUUACCUCCUUUGGGCUUGGCAUAAUCGGAAAUCAGAAAAAGAGGAGGAGUCACAAUCCUGUGUGUGGACCAACAUUUCCAAGGAUUGCCAUGCCCCCGAGGAGGUGAUAUGGUAAGGUGGGGCGCAGAGGAAACAGAACAUGCACUGAGAGGUGAGGAAAGUGUGGAUGUGAAUGGAAAAGAGGGAAGGUGUAAGGAUGGGACAGAACCGUGCAAUGGGGGAAGGUGUUGUGUUCCUAGAGGAAAAUGCCAGAAGCUGGCAAUG